GAUGUCCAUCCUGUCCGCAGUUUUCCACUGGUUUAUCGCAUGCGACUUAGUGAAAGCGUGAUUUUGGUGGUUUUUGGGUUCCUAAUGCUGAAGGGUUGCGCAGGAUUUAGACCGCUGAAACAACUGUAUCUGUUUCAACUACAGACUCGCCCUCCACGCGUUUGACUGUCGUCGUUCCCCCGUGGCACGGAGCCGGUGUAUCGUGACGCACAGGCUAUUUGUAAAUACAUAAAAAGCUCAGGCCCAGGAAAGGCGUGGGCUGCGGGUGUUCCAACUGGUUUUCCUGGUAUCCUGUCAUCCUUUCUCUUCCUGUGUGGCCUGGUGGGGCCAUAUGUGAGGUCCGUAUUCAACAAUGCCUGUGCAUACCACCAAGCAAAUUCGUGAAGCUGUUCAGUGUUGAAACAGUUCUGUGUGACACUGCUCGUCCACUUUGCCCCGUCGUCCCAAUGAGGCGUCAUCACCAAGCGCGACUACCAGCACUUUGGGCUCCAGAGAAAGCUGCCGAGUUUGUAUCCUGCAGAGAGGUAAGAUCAUGGCCUUUAAUCGACGAACUGACUGUACGCAUGGAAACCCAGUUAUCGGGCAGCGAGCAUGGAAGGAAGAGUUGCAGAUGCACCAGCAGCGGCUCAGGACUAUGAAACCGCAUGUCGAUACGAGACCCCCUGCUAGCGAUUCCUUCCAUCGGGCAAUCCGCAAAGAUUACUAUGCAGAACAGAGAAAGAAGAUGAAUGAUGCCUUCGAGAACCUCAAAAUGCUCCGCGCCAUCGCGUCCACCAUGAACAGGUCUUCGGCUCUCUCGAGACCGCAGGAGUCAACGAAGCAUAGCCUCAACGAAGUUGCGCGGCGAAGGGAGCUCAUCCGUAUAUACGAGCAGAAUCAGCUACUUUUGCAUCGACUGGAGGCGACGAAACCUGUGUAUGCCGUGAACCGGACAGAGCGAGAAUUUCUCGAACAGGAGAGGUUGGUGUCAUUGUGCAGCUACUCGACGCGGCGAUUACGUCAACGAACUGGGCGAAGAUCUCCUGUUUCUCCAACGAGGCCUUGUACUUCCUCCUCUCAGUCCAGAACAAUUCAACCGAAGAGCCACAGUCAUGCACGCACGAUAUCCCCCUUGGCGAGCCCCACUGUUCUCUCCCCUCAGAGCCUGAAACCUUCAAAUCAGACUGCGACGGCGGCACCGAAACGCGAAAAGGGCCAGAGGCUGACAGGAUCGAAGAGCGCACCAAAUUUAAGAAGUUGUAUCCGGAACGAGGACAAUGACCUGGAGGGCACUUGCCACGAUGCUCCACAUAGAUUUCGCUGGAAAGAUUAUACAGUCUACCCGACCAGCACUGCCAUGGGUGCGAAGCCUCACCAGUUCAAAGAAAGCGACUUGACUGCCCAUCGGCUGCCUCCCAAGAAUAAGCAGUGGUAGCUGCUUGUGCCUGCGCAGUAUAAGAUUGAUGCCGAGUUACCAACGACGCAUAGAAAUUGCCAAAUUUUAGUGCCAAACGGAUUGCUCUACAGGCUUUCUGUUCGAUACUUUCGAACAGACUUGGUACCGGUUGUGGGCUACUGAUAAAGAUUUGUGGGAGGUGUCCCCGACUGUACAACAGGCUUACGUUUUGGAUGCGUCCACCGAGGUAUACUGGCAUGGCCACGUGUAAGGUGAACCGCGGGGGGGCAUGAAUGAAUCGACGUCAAACUGACGAGGCAGCGAAACACGUGCCGUAUCGGUAUUACGAUUUUUUUCCGUCCGUACGCCUGUUCUGUGACGAAGCAAUUUUCCUUUCUGGGUCGUUUGUAGGGGGCUACCCUCUGGUUUCGUGCGAGUCUACGCUUACACAACUUCCUGAGUUGUAUUCCUGGUGAGAACCAUCGCUUCGACAGUCCGCGG
rnacentral:lncRNA from 1 species